GUGGUUAUAGCUUAAUGGGCAAAGCCCUUCACUGUGAAUGAAGAAGAUAUCGGAUCGAAGCCGAUUAAUCACCCCA
rnacentral:tRNA from 1 species